UACGGAGGGGGCUAGCGUUGUUCGGAAUUACUGGGCGUAAAGCGCACGUAGGCGGCUUUGUAAGUUAGAGGUGAAAGCCCGGGGCUCAACUCCGGAAUUGCCUUUAAGACUGCAUCGCUAGAAUUGUGGAGAGGUAAGUGGAAUUCCGAGUGUAGAGGUGAAAUUCGUAGAUAUUGGGAAGAACACCGGUGGCGAAGGCGGCUCACUGGCUCGUAACUGACGCUCAU
rnacentral:rRNA from 1 species